ensembl:lincRNA Gm43597 predicted gene 43597
GGAAAGAGUGAAUAGGACACUAACAGAUGGCGCGUUCAUUCCUUCAGAAGUUGUAAGUAGCCGGCCUGAUACUGUUAGCUCUCUGAGGAUUUCUUCUGAUCGUCAGUUUUCAAAUGAGAGCUUUGACGGAAAGCUGAAGAUAUGGGAAACCUGGGAGCCAGUUCAGUGUGGACUUGCUGAGGACAGCCAAAACAUAAGCAGGAAUGGUCAGUCCUUCGGGCCACUAGCACAAGAAUUUGCCUUUCAGCCAGCCAAACUUUUGGGAUCUCCUGGAGUUGCAAUGGAACCCUUGUUACCGGAUGACCCAACACAGGAUUCCCUUUGAUACGGAAGUCACUCAAGAUAAUGCCUUUGCGAUGGAAGAUGUCAACAAAGGUAUCUUUUUUAGGUUUCAGAGAUUUCUUUUCAAAAUAGUUAUUUGUGUUAUAUUUAAUUAUUGUGUGUGUGUGCAUAUGUGUGUGUGUGCAUAUGUGUGUGGGUGCCCACAGAGGCUAGAGCUAUCGGAUCUCCCUGGAGUUGGAGUUACAGGCAGAUGUGAGCUGCCUGACUGCCUGACUGAGGUGCCUGUAAGCACCUAGGCUCAUUUACCAGGCCAAGGUCACCUGAUAGGGCCAGGAAGCAAGCCAGGCUUGGGUUGGCCGGGUCACAGUAAGAUCGAGGCUGUGAUAGUUUUACUGAGAGCAAUCCUACUUUUUAUCUCUUUAUCAGAAACAGAAGAUAAUAGCAAUUGUCAGGAUCAAUGAUGUUGCAGUUGCCAGGACACAGUGAAGUUUGCAAAUUAUACAGGGCACACAAGAUUAAUGCCUAAGACCGAUUGGCCUGUCGAGCUCCCAGGUUUCCUUGAUUUCUGAGAACAUACAGAGAAACACAAAGUGGCCUAAUUGCUUCACUGCCCGAGGGAGUGGAUCGGUUUCUCAGGAAUGAGAAGACACAUUGUGCCCCAGAAGCCACGGAUUCUAACUGAAAAAUGUAUAUGACACAUGCCUCUCAAAGUAGCUAGGCCAAGCCAACUCCAUGGUUCUUUACAGGCGCUGAGAACCAGUCAGAGUUCUGCAAGAGCUGUGUGUAUUCACAACUACUGAGCCAUCGCUAGAUAAAAUACUUUUUUUGGUUUUUUGUUUGUUUGUUUUGCAAGACAGGGUUUCUCUGUGUAGCCCUGGCUGUCCUGGAACUCACUCUGUAGACCAGGCUAGCCUUGAACUCAGAAAUCCUCCUGCCUCUGCCUCCCAAGUGCUGGGAUUAAAGGCGUGUGCCACCACUGCCUGUAGAUAAUACUUCUAUAAAAAUAAAAUCAGAGGAUUGUUUUCAUGAAAAUUAGAAAAAGAAUAUGCAUGGAUGUUAUUGUAUUAGCCAUAAGAGAACCUUGCGUUUAAUUCUCUAAGUGUAUUGAAGGCCAUGCACUCUGAAGAGCUGACCAUUUUAGGAGAGUCUGCCAUUCACUGAGUAAAUUCUCCUGUCCAGACCUAAAUUAGCUUAGAUCCAUAUUUGCUUGACUUGAAAACAUCUCGUUGUUGGUGUGAUCUUGUGGUCCACAGUGGUGAAUAUCCCUGUUCUUUUAUUAUUAUUGUUGUUGUAAGGGCCGCUUGUUUUAUCCAGGGAGCUGGUGGAGGACUGGCUUGGACAGUUAGACAGUAGACAGAGACUGGAAAAGUAGUUAUCUACCUGGCUUUGGCUUUUGUUUUUGAUAGUUGGCUUGGUUUUUGCCUUUUUUUUUUUAGAUUAAUUAAUAGUGAAAUAAAUGAAGCCGGAGGCACCUGGGGGCACAUUUUGGAAUUAGUAGUAAAAUCUAACUUUAAAGACAAAUUGUAGUACCAUUACUUAAAGGUAGCAGGUGUUUCUUAUGGGCACAUUUGUUUUGUGUGUGAAUCGUAUGUACACAUUUUAUAAGCUGUCCUUUUGUUUUGAAGAUGAGGUCAUCUAUGUAGCCCUGUGUGACUUCAAAUUCGUGGCCAUAUUCCUGCCUUCAUCUCUCCUGUGCCGGGCUGAUGCUCUUGGACCGCCAUGUCCUGUGGUGUGGCUUACUUCUCCCCUGAGUCCUCAGGGAGUCUAUGCUGUCAUUCGUGCAUACAGAGAGCAGUGCUUACAGUGCUAACUAAGACUGACAUUUGUGGUCGUGAUGUUUCUUUCGAUAUCUGAGGAAUGCCUGUGCAGGAGAAUUAAUCAUUAUUUUGUGUAUCUCAAUUAUUAUUUCUAGAAAAGGCAGAAGAGUCUUGGUUAAAAAUGAAAAAUCCCUUGACCUGUAAGUACCUCUUGCCGCAGAGACCUCGAUAUGGUCAGGAGGAAAUGAGUGUUGGCAUUGCCUGGUUGUAAUAGCGCAGAUGUAUUGCAGUUGAAGAGUUGUUACUAUAGCAACCCUGUCUGUGCGACUGCAUGUUCAAUUCUUUUCUUCAGUCUCUUUCUGUGACCUACAACAAAGCUUGGAUUGUUGCUCCCAAGAUUUAUUCCCCAUUUCAUUAGUUAGAAUGCAUUUCAGAGCAUUCUGACGACAAGAGAAGAUACACACACACACACACACACACACACACACACACACUGGUGUGUGACCAGAGCUAGGAAUUAGGGCUGUAGUUUCCAUGUAAAUAUGUAUAUUAACAGAUGCUCUAAGAAAAGAGGCAGCAUGGAUAAACAUGAGGUCAUAUACUUGACACAGAGAGUGACAUUAAAGGAAACACAUAUGUUGCGAUGCCAGUGCAUUCGUGUCUGCACUUAGUAAGAGUGGAACACACAUGUGCUUGGCAUGUUUUCUAAGUGUUUUCCUCUUGCCCCCGCUUCUGCUGGGAGACGGAGCACUGCGUGCUGGGGAGGAGUUUAGAGGUCUGGAGAGACUGCUAGAACGAGAUGAGUGUGCUAAGAGACUGUGAGAGCUCUGGAGGAAGGGAUGAAAGCUCUCAUUUUGUUCCCAGUGCAUGAGUGGUGUCAUCUUAGACCUUGCUCUCUGUGCUGAGGGAAAGCAGUGAGCCCUUUCCUGUGCUGUAUACAGCAGUCUCUGUUAAGACGCGUGUCCCUUCUCCCCUGUGAGGGGCCCUGCAGACACUGAGCUACCAUACAAGGAACAUGCAGCGAGCUUGACUUGACUUAGCUGUGGCCAAUCCGAGAGUCCCUUCUCUGUGGUGACGGUGCAGAUUUGUGUCAAGGACAGGCUCUGCAAGUGCUUUUGGUUUUGAAGUCGCUCCUCUGCUCCUCUGUUCUGUUCUAACUGUUCUCCAUGGCACUGGCCUCACCAACAGCCUCGCUCUAAAUCUUCAUCUGAGCGUCUCUCUCGAGCUCUGUAGCCAUAUGUGUAUUCACUACAGUCAUCUGGAGAAAGAGCCUUCCGGUUUGGGUUGUCACGGCAUACUGACAAGUAGGUUUUAAAGGGCAAACGGAUAUACAGGAAGAGGCAAUUAUAAGAAGAACCUGCUGGGCUGUAGAAGUCCCAUGGUGGUUUCUGCCUAUCUCACAGUACUCAGCAAUUGUUGCCAUGUGCUGUCAGCCACAGGCCUCUGUAGAUGCUGAGGUAGGCCAAGGAUGUGCUCCUACAUGCCUGUUCUGGAGGUGCUGCCUGCUGUGUGACCUGAAAGAAUUAAUCUCCUCACAGCCUCGAUUUUCUUAACUGUAAAACAUAAGUAGAUAAUAUCACUUUAGUAACAGGUACUUGGACUAGUGCCUGAGAAGUCACGGCUUUAGCAUGGGUUUAUCUCAUCCUUUUACACCUCCAGGACCAAGGCCUUUGGCAGCACAAAACUGUGGCUGUCCUGGAAGAGGGAAAGAUUGAGCCAGCAAACCUGCUUACAGAUUUACAUACAUUCCUGUGGUGGUCCUUAUUAACAUCUGUACUACUAAGAGCCGUAACCCUCUGGGGCUGAGAAGAGAGCGGAGGUGAGAUGCACGCAGAACCAGACAGAAUGGACUAAAGGGACAGCACAGGCGGGAGAUGCUGGGGCGUAGCAUGACUAGGGCAGCAAAGGGGACCCAUUGUGUCUGGACAUGUCUGGGUGUGUGCUUGCCUGCAGUGAAGAUCUCUGCUUCCUUUCCUGCUGCUGAGAAAUCCCUGGGAAAAGCCAGGGAGCCCAGUGCUGACCCUCAGAGGCCCUCCCACCACACUCCCACUGGACACCCACCCUCACUGGCCUGGAUAAUCCCUCCAGUUGUUGCUUCUGAUAAGUUGUGUCAAUAAAAAGGAAAGGAAAGAAAACUCGGCAAACAGCAAAAGUGUAAACACAGCCACUGCCUGAUGCCAAGAGCUGUUGCAUCUUCGACCUGCAGAGGAAAGAGAGGCACGGACAGCCCUGUAAUAGCUCUGAGAUUGCGUUAGUAACCUUAUGCAAGCAUUGAUCUGUGGCCACAGCUCUAGGAUUUGAAGUCCCCAAAGGCUCUAAAAUCCAAGUAUUGUUCUGUUUAUUCAGUUUUUUUUUAAUGGUGGUGAAAUAUACAAUAAAGCCAUUGCCUUAGCUA